rnacentral:rRNA from 1 species
GAACAGAUAAGGAGCUUGCUCCUUUGACGUUAGCGGCGGACGGGUGAGUAACACGUGGGUAACCUACCUAUAAGACUGGGAUAACUUCGGGAAACCGGAGCUAAUACCGGAUAAUAUUUCGAACCGCAUGGUUCGAUAGUGAAAGAUGGUUUUGCUAUCACUUAUAGAUGGACCCGCGCCGUAUUAGCUAGUUGGUAAGGUAACGGCUUACCAAGGCGACGAUACGUAGCCGACCUGAGAGGGUGAUCGGCCACACUGGAACUGAGACACGGUCCAGACUCCUACGGGAGGCAGCAGUAGGGAAUCUUCCGCAAUGGGCGAAAGCCUGACGGAGCAACGCCGCGUGAGUGAUGAAGGUCUUCGGAUCGUAAAACUCUGUUAUUAGGGAAGAACAUACGUGUAAGUAACUGUGCACGUCUUGACGGUACCUAAUCAGAAAGCCACGGCUAACUACGUGCCAGCAGCCGCGGUAAUACGUAGGUGGCAAGCGUUAUCCGGAAUUAUUGGGCGUAAAGCGCGCGUAGGCGGUUUUUUAAAGUCUGAUGUGAAAGCCCACGGCUCAACCCGUGGAGGGUCAUUGGGAAACUGGAAAACUUGAGUGCAGAAGAGGAAAGUGGAAUUCCAUGUGUAGCGGUGAAAUGCGCAGAGAUAUGGAGGAACACCAGUGGCGAAGGCGACUUUCUGGUCUGUAACUGACGCUGAUGUGCGAAAGCGUGGGGAUCAAACAGGAUUAGAUACCCCUGGUAGUCCACGCCGUAAACGAUGAGUGCUAAGUGUUAGGGGGUUUCCGCCCCUUAGUGCUGCAGCUAACGCAUUAAGCACUCCGCCUGGGGAGUACGACCGCAAGGUUGAAACUCAAAGGAUUUGACGGGGACCCGCACAAGCGGUGGAGCAUGU